GCCCAGACCAGCAGCUUAGGCUGUAUAAAAAGGGCCUUUGCCACAUGAGCUGAGCUGCAUCGGGCAGGCAGGGGCAGCAAGAUGGUGUCACAGAGGCAGGUCUUCCUAUCCUUGUUCCUAUGGGUCUCAGGUGCCUGUGGGGACAUCACGAUGACUCAGUCUCCAGGCUCCCUGGCUGUGUCUCCAGGUCAGCGGGUCACCAUGAACUGCAGAGCCAGUCAGAGUGUUAGCAACUAUGUAGCCUGGUACCAGCAGAAACCUGGGCAGGCUCCCAGGCUCCUCAUCUAUGCUGCAUCCAGCAGGGCCACGGGCAUCCCAGACCGGUUCAGCGGCAGUGGGUCUGGGACAGACUUCACCUUCAGCAUCAGCAACCUCCAGGCCGAAGAUGUGGGGGACUAUUACUGUCAGCAGUAUUAUAGCUCUCUACCCACAGUGCUUCAGCCUCGAACAGAAACCUGCUUCCUGGGGCCGUGGGUCAAGGAGGCUUUGCUGCACCAGCUGCUUCCUCCCCGCUCAGGGCUGUUCCGUUAUCUGCCUGAGAAGUCACGUCUCCUGACUUACUCCUUGGAGGGCUUGUAAGGCCCAGGAGAAAAU